CUUAAUAAUGUUCAGUAAGAUUUGCAGUUACUUUUUAGCAAACGCAUUUUGUAAAACUCAGUGAAGGGUAGAGUGAAGAAAGUGUCUUUUUACAAAGGCCUAGCUAUUGCUGAAUGUGUUGACUCAAAUGAUAUUCUGGAGAAGUUCCAGGCGAUGAGUGUUGGAUGUAGUAGCCACUAGAGGCUGCUGGAGGGCGCAAAAGAAACAGUGUUGAAAUAAGAGUUGAAUGAAAUAAGAAUACCAGCUAAAGUAAGAAUGGAGACCAGUACUCUGUAGCAGCACAUGCUGGGCAGACCAAUCUCCUCCCUGAUGAAGAAACCAACCAUUCGUCAAAAGAAGGACCAAGAGAAGGUUUGCAGUUACUCAUUGAUUCUGAGAAGGAUGGACAACUGUUGCCUUAAGGAGAGGAUUCAUGGAGAACAAGACAGGGGGAGUCGUGCUACCUGUGAAGAGGUGAACAGGGAAGAUGCAGCAUUCAUUUUAACAUUUCAUUCAUUCCCCCCAGGUUGUGAAUAUUUAUGAUUAAUGUUAUAUACUUUUUCUCAAAGCACUUAUUGUCCUCAAGUCCAACUCAUGCAAAAUGUUAAAUACAUUAAAACUGUUCUAGAAUUUUUUUGGGAUCCUUAGGUUCAAAAGUCUAUAAACGUAUAUAACAUUUGGUUAAGCUUGGUGAAUAGGACCCAUUUAUUAUGUUAAGUCUCCAAGCAUCACAUGCUGUAACACAGAAAUACAGGAAUACAGUUCAGUUCAAGGUCAAUUUUCUUUAUAGUUUAUUUUUUUAAACAACCCUGAACAAACAUAUAUUCUUUUUAUAGGCACUGAAAAGCCCACACUUCUUGUUACUCAAGUGAGUUCUUAACAGAGUGCAGUACAAGAGCGGCUGCCCACAGGGGGCAGUGAAAAGUUCCUCUGUAAGAGAAUGAGCACUCUGGAGACUGUUCAAGACGAUUUCCUGGAGCACAGUAUUGAUCUGAGAGACGAACAAGCCCCGGUAACAAAUCCCAACUACUUUCUCCCAAAGACCUUUUCAAAUCCCUCUUUAAUCACUAGCUAAGAGGCAGAAAAUUAAGGGUUUUGCAGUUUUGAAAGGUGCACUUGUGAGAAUAUAUGGAAUAAUUUUGUUCUUUUUUUAACCAUAUGCACACUGACAAUAGAAAGUAUAACCUAUCAAAUCCUUUAGUUAUAAACUGUGAGAUGUAUUAUUUAACAGGACACUGGAUUUUUGUAUUGGGAUAAAUUGGAUAAAUAAAACUUGACGAUAUGCAAAUGAGAAUAACAACAACAACAACAACAAAAAUGUGUGUUACAAAGACUGCUUUUUAAUGAUACCAAAUGCAGACAUUCACAAAUAACUGUGGUAUAAUGCUUUGGAAUAUGAAAUUGUAUACUUGUUGUUGACCUCUGAUGCAAUGUGGCAAUGUAGAACACAAAUAUUAAUAAUGCAGGACAAUAAUUUACAUUGUUGUUAACAUAGUAUUUUACAAGUGACAUACAUUAAGCUGAAAAUAUUAACUGCAGUGGAAAUCAAUAACACUGCAGUUUCACUAAGUACAGUAAAAUAAUAUAUCUUUGAUAUCCAUCAUAUAUAUAUAUAUAAUAUAUUUUGUAUAUAUAAUAUAUAUUGUAACAUGGCAGGGAAGGGGUUAAGUUUCCCUGCCCAGAAACAUGUGAGAAUGAACAUUUGGGUGUAAUGGGUUAAUUGUUUAAUUUUUAGUUAUCCCCUGCACCUGGUGUUAAUUGUAAAUUAGAGCCAGGUGCAGGGUAUUUAAAGAAGGAAGCCAGUCUGUUCAGGGCUGCUGGUGUGUGAGGUGCCCGAUUGUAGGUGUGUGCAAUCGUAGUAGAAAAAAAAAAAAGGUAGUGUGAGAAAGCCUUUUUGUGUGUUCUGUUUUUUUUUUUCCAAGGUGUGUUACAAGUAAUCAGCUUAGCUGUCCUGAGUGAGUUAAGUUCCUGUGUGUAAUAGUUAGUGCUCAAGAAAGAGCCAGGUGUUUGUUUUUAUUUUUGUUUGGGUUUAUUAAAAGUAUGCAUAAGCGCAAGAACAAUCAA